CCAACAGGGAUUGCCUCAGUAACGGCGAGUGAAGCGGCAACAGCUCAAAUUUGAAAUCUGGCCCCUGGUGGUCCGAAUUGUAAUUUGUAGAAGGUGCUUCGGGUGCGAUCCCGGUCCAAGUCCCUUGGAACAGGGCGUCCCAGAGGGUGAGAAUCCCGUACGCGGCCGACGGUCAAGCCCGUGUGAAGCCCUUUCGACGAGUCGAGUUGUUUGGGAAUGCAGCUCUAAAUGGGUGGUAAAUUUCAUCUAAAGCUAAAUAUUUGCCCAAGACCGAUAGCGCACAAGUAGAGUGAUCGAAAGAUGAAAAGCACUUUGAAAAGAGAGUCAAACAGUACGUGAAAUUGUUGAAAGGGAAGCGCUUGCAACCAGACUCGCUCGCGGGUGCUCAGCCGUCCCCAGGGGCGGUGCACUCUCCCGCGGCCGGGCCAGCAUCGGUUUAGGCGGCCGGAUAAAGGCUUCGGGAAUGUAGCUCUCUUCGGGGAGUGUUAUCAGCCCGGGGCGCAAUGCGGCCAGCCCGGACCGAGGACCGCGCAUUCGCUAGGAUGCUGGCGUAAUGGUUGCCAGCGACCCGUCUUGAAACACGGACCAAGGAGUCGACCAACCGCGCGAGUGUUUGGGUGUCAAACCCCCGGCGCGUAAUGAAAGUAAACUUAGGUGGGAGCCUUCGGGUGCACCAUCGACCGAUCCUGAUAUCUUUGGAUGGAUUUGAGUAUGAGCCCGGCUGGUCGGACCCGAAAGAUGGUGAACUAUGCGUGAAUAGGGUGAAGCCAGAGGAAACUCUGGUGGAGGCUCGCAGCGGUUCUGACGUGCAAAUCGAUCGUCAAAUUUGCGCAUAGGGGCGAAAGACCAAUCGAACUAUCUAGUAGCUGGUUCCCGUCGAAGUUUCCCUCAGGAUAGCAGCAACGGAGACAGUCUCAUGAGGUAGAGCAAACGAUUAGAGGUCUUGGGGUCGUAAUCGACCUUAACCUAUUCUCGAACUUCGAAUAUGUGAGAAGUCCUUGUUACUUAGUUGAACGUGGACAUUUGGAUGUAUCGUUGCUAGUGGGCCAUUUUUGGUAAGCAGAACUGGCGAUGCGGGAUGAACCGAACGCGAGGUUACGGUGCCGGAAUGCACGCUCAUCAGAACCCACAAAAGGUGUUAGUUCAUCUAGACAGCCGGUAUGUACAUUGAAUUUCUUAUUACUUGAUUUUACUUGAAGAUACAGAUACUAACAUCUCUUUUUUAGGACGGUGGCCAUGGAAGUCGGAAACCGCUAAGGAGUGUGUAACAACUCACCGGCCGAAUGAACUAGCCCUGAAAAUGGAUGGCGCUCAAGCGUGCUACCUAUACCUCGCCGCCGGGGUAGAAACGAUGCCCCGGCGAGUAGGCGGGCGUGGAGGUCCGUGACGAAGCCUUGGGGGUGACCCCGGGUCGAACGGCCUCUAGUGC
rnacentral:rRNA from 1 species